rnacentral:rRNA from 1 species
AUUGAACGCUGGCGGCAGGCCUAACACAUGCAAGUCGAACGAGCGGCGGACGGGUGAGUAGUGUCUGGGAAACUGCCUGAUGGAGGGGGAUAACUACUGGAAACGGUAGCUAAUACCGCAUACCAUCAGAUGUGCCCAGAGGGGAUUAGCUAGUAGGUGGGGUAACGGCUCACCAAGGCGACGAUCCCUAGCUGGUCUGAGAGGCUGACCAGCCACACUGGAACUGAGACACGGUCCAGACUCCUACGGGAGGCAGCAGUGGGGAAUAUUGCACAAUGGGCGAAAGCCUGAUGCAGCAAUGCCGCGUGUGUGAAGAAGGUCUUCGGGUUGUAAAGCACUUUCAUCGGGGAGGCGUUACUCGCAGAAGAAGCACCGGCUAACUCCGUGCCAGCAGCCGCGGUAAUUC